GACGAACGCUGGCGGCGUGCCUAAUACAUGCAAGUCGAACGCAGUGGGGACGGGUGAGUAACACGUGGGUAACCUCCCAUCAGAGGGGAUAACACUUGGCAACAGGUGUUAAACCGAUACUGCUGGAUGGACCGGCGGUGCAUUAGCUAGUGGGUGAGGUAACGGCUCACCAAGGCCACGAUGCAUAGCCGACCUGAGAGGUGGAUCGGCCACACUGGUACUGAGACACGGCCCAGACUCCUACGGGAGGCAGCAGUAGUGAAUAUUCGGCAAUGGGCGAAAGUCUGACCGAGCAACGCCGCGUGAGUGAAGAAGGUUUUCGGAUCGUAAAACUCUGUUAUUAGAGAAGCGGUAUCUAACCAGAAAGCCACGGCUAACUACGUGCCAGCAGCCGCGGUAAUUC
rnacentral:rRNA from 1 species